CCUACGGGGGGCUGUAGUGGGGAAUAUUGGGCAAUGGGCGAAAGCCUGACCCAGCGACGCCGCGUGGGCGAUGAAGGCCUUCGGGUUGUAAAGCCCUUUCGUGCGGAAAGAACAGUCUUACGGUUAAUACCCGUAGGAUUUGACGGUACCGCAGGAAGAAGCACCGGCUAACUCCGUGCCAGCAGCCGCGGUAAUACGGAGGGUGCGAGCGUUGUUCGGAAUUAUUGGGCGUAAAGGGCGCGUAGGCGGUAAUGAAAGUCAGAUGUGAAAUACUUCGGCUCAACUGAAGAACUGCAUCUGAAACUUCAUAACUCGAGUACAGAAGAGGGAAACGGAAUUCCCGGUGGAGAGGUGAAAUUCGUAGAUAUCGGGAGGAACACCAGUGGCGAAGGCGGUUUCCUGGUCUGAUACUGACGCUGAGGCGCGAAAGUGUGGGGAGCAAACA
rnacentral:rRNA from 1 species